rnacentral:rRNA from 1 species
ACGGAAGGCAGCAGUGGGGAAUAUUGGGCAAUGGGCGCAAGCCUGACCCAGCAACGCCGCGUGAAGGAAGAAGGCUUUCGGGUUGUAAACUUCUUUGACGGGGGAAGAGCAGAAGACGGUACCCCGAAAACAAGCCACGGCUAACUACGUGCCAGCAGCCGCGGUAAUACGUAGGUGGCGAGCGUUGUCCGGAUUUACUGGGUGUAAAGGGCGUGUAGCCGGGUUGGCAAGUCAGGUGUGAAAUGCACAGGCUUAACCUGUGAACUGCAUUUGAAACUGUUGAUCUUGAGUAUCGGAGAGGCAAUCGGAAUUCCUAGUGUAGCGGUGAAAUGCGUAGAUAUUAGGAGGAACACCAGUGGCGAAGGCGGAUUGCUGGACGACAACUGACGGUGAGGCGCGAAAGUGUGGGGAGCGAACAGGAUUAGAUACCCUGGUA